rnacentral:rRNA from 1 species
UACGAAGGGGGCUAGCGUUGUUCGGAAUCACUGGGCGUAAAGGGCGCGUAGGCGGCUUUAUAAGUCGGGGGUGAAAGCCUGUGGCUCAACCACAGAAUUGCCUUCGAUACUGUAGAGCUUGAGACCGGAAGAGGUAAGUGGAACUGCGAGUGUAGCGGUGAAAUGCGUAGAUAUCUGGAGGAAUACCGGUGGCGAAGGCGGCAUCCUGGACCGGCAUUGACGCUGAUGAGCGAAAGCUAGGGGAGCAAACGGG